CAGUAGGGAAUCUUCGGCAAUGGACGAAAGUCUGACCGAGCAACGCCGCGUGAGUGAAGAAGGUUUUCGGAUCGUAAAACUCUGUUGGUAGAGAAGAACGUUGGUGAGAGUGGAAAGCUCAUCAAGUGACGGUAACUACCCAGAAAGGGACGGCUAACUUCGUGCCAG
rnacentral:rRNA from 1 species